AGCUUUGCGCAGUGGCAGUAUCAUAGCCAAUGAGGUUUAUCAAAGGUGCAAUUAUUGCUAAUUGAAAAAUUUUCCCCAAUACCCCGCCAUGACGACUUGCAAUAUAGUAGGCAUUGGCAAUUUUUGACGGUCUCUAUGGAGA